ensembl:lncRNA
AUGAGGAAGUGGCCAGCACUUAGAGCUGUUGGUGGCCCUCCCCUUCCCAUGCACUUGUGGGCACCAGCAAAGCCCAGAAAAAGCUGUCAGAUGCUCUGGAAGGCAGCAGAGACCUGCCUGGGCAUCAGCAAAGCCCAACAAAAGCCCUGUGGUCCUCCACAGGGAAGCUGGGCCCCUUAUGGGCCUGGCAAAGCUUGGCAAAAGCCCUGGGACACUCUGAAAGGCAGCAGGGCCCCUUGCAGGGCAAAGCAAAACUUAGCAGAAGCCCCAGGGUGCUCUGGAGGGAAGCAGGGCCCCUUGUGGCAAAAGCCAUCAGAUAGGGUUAGGUGGUCGUGGUUAGGUGUAGGGUUAAGGACAUGGGUUAGGUGGUUGUGGUUAGGGGUAGGGAUAUGUUUAGAGUCGGGGUUAGGGGUUAGGUUUUGUUACAUGGUUUGCAGUUUAGAGGUAGGGGUGAACUUUAGGCCUUGGAGUUUAGGUUUAGGGGUUGGGAUUAGCUUCAUGGUUAGCAUUAGGGUUGGGGAUUAUGGUUAGGUUUUGGGAUUAGGGUUUAUAGUUAAUGUCUUUAUGAUUAGGUUUCUGUUUUGGGUUUAAAGUCACACUGUAAAUAUUUGGGUUACAGUGUUAAAUUUAGGGCGUUAGUUUUAAUGUUUCGUUUUAUAGUUCGGAGGUGGAGAUUUGAUUUGGGUGUUAAAAUUAGCAUUAAAUUUUAGAGUUUGUUUUAGGAGUUGAAUUUAGGAUUAGGAUUUAGUGCCUUACAUCUUAGAUUUAGUGUCAUUGUUAGAGUUUAUUGUUUGGGUUAGGGCUAAAGUCAGCUUUUGGGUUGUGACUUAGAGGGUUUUUUUAAUAGAUCAUAGAAAUUAAUAAGAUAUGUAGUGGACAUGGUAUCUGUAUGUAUGGACUAUUUGCCCUUGUUCUACAUGCUGUUUUUAGAGGGCAGUGGGAUUUGGAAACUGGGUGAGUUGAUGCAUAUAGCAACAGGUGUUUUGCCUAUCACAAGCAAGAUUUUGUCAGCAGAAUUGGCCCAGGCACCACAUGCAGCUAGAAUACAAGAUGGUUUAGUACAAGUGUGAGCUGUCUAGACCCCUUGAUAGGGAUUUGAGAAGCCAGUCAGGCAUGCAAGUGAUACAAAUCCAGGAGGAAUUACUGCUGCUUUGGAAGACAGGCUCAUGGAGCAGGCAUGCUUUCCUGACUGAAUGAAAGAACCAUUGGUGUCACUCGAGAGAUUCAUGGAAAGCAGUUCAUGCAGCCAGAAAUAGUCAGAUGCACAAGUAGAAGAGUGGCAGAGAUGUCAAGGAAUGUAUCAGAAGCUGCAAGAUAUGAUGACUAACAGUAAAAGUGUGCUGCUCCUUGUGGGAGCAGCAGAUGCCAGUCACGCCAACCAUCACUCGUAAGUGAAUCCCAAAUCAUAUCAGCCAGGCUUUACUCUGAUGUCCAUAGCAUGUGUUAAACUAGUAGAGAAAAGAACUAACAAAAAAAAGUAAAAAUGCAUACAGACGUUUUUUGAGAAGCACAACAGGGACAAUGACCAGUUUGAUAAAAAAGGAAGAGAGUCAGCAGUGUUUAAUCCAGGAAAAUAGGCCAAAUGGGGUUGUCAUUGCCUUUUAAAGGUGGAUAAAGGUAUAUUUUGCAGUUUGGACAGUGAAUCAGUAGCCAUGAGGCAUGGAACAAGCCCUGAUCCGGUGCAUUUUUCCUAGAACUAGUUAAGAAUAGAUUUUGUGUUUUUAAUAUAGCUAUGCUUUAGUAUGGAAAUGAAAAAGAAAUUAAAGAAAUCAAAUAAACCCAAUUGUUAAGUGACUUAAUAAUCA